UACGUAGGGAGCAAGCGUUGUCCGGAAUCAUUGGGCGUAAAGCGCGCGUAGGUGGCCUCAUAAGUCCGCUGUGAAAGUCAAAGGCUCAACCUUUGAAAGCCGGUGGAUACUGUGGGGCUAGAGUACGGAAGAGGCAAGUGGAAUUCCUGGUGUAGCGGUGGAAUGCGCAGAUAUCAGGAGGAACACCAAUAGCGAAGGCAGCUCGCUGGGACGUUACUGACACUGAGGCGCGAAAGCGUGGGGAGCGAACAGG
rnacentral:rRNA from 1 species